UAACACACUGAUGAAUUCCAAAUAGGUUUCAAGCUAAUGUACGUCAGAAAUUCCGAAGCAAAUACGUCUGAGAUAUUGCAGUAAACACCUACUAACUUACUAUGAUGUGCAUACAAAUACAAAACACCUUGAAUUGAUAACUAUGCUCAUUAUCUCCGAGUUAUAUAUGUGACUUCUCCCUACACAGGGAAUUUACUUACGUUCACAAGUUGGUUCAGCAUCAGACCAGUUUCUAUCAGCCAUGCAUGUUCUUGAGGCAACACCCAUCAAAAUAUAACCAUUGCUACACGAGUACAUAGCUUCGGAGAGGAAAGUAGUGACUGAAACAGUGACCAAACCGUUACUAGGCGACGUCAGCUGACCGCAGUCAACAGCUGUGAUAGGAGUGACGUACGAUUGCAGACAGGGUCAGGUGAUCCCUGCAGUGACCAAUCACCAUCAGCCUCACAAACUCUCUCCGUUAUCCCGACGAGAUCAUAGCCAUUACUACAGCUGUAAGUUGCCGUGGAGGUGAACGUUGUUGAGGGGGUGGUCUCUACCUGACCGUUGAUGGGACUGGCCCGGGGACCACAGUCAAUAGCUGCAUGUCGUGGAACGGAUUGAGGACGGAGCACUGAGAACAUAGCCAGAUGGGCAAGUGUACACUGAGAAUGAGCCGAAUGUGGUGAGGGAGACUGUGACUUGUCCGCCAUUGUUUAAGGAGCUGGGUGUUCCACAGUCAAUAACUGUGUGAGAAUGUUAAUUACAAAUUGGUAAUUGUGAUUAGUAGUAACUAUCAUGU